rnacentral:rRNA from 1 species
CACGUAGGGCGCGAGCGUUGUCCGGAAUUAUUGGGCGUAAAGAGCUCGUAGGCGGCCUGUUGCGUCCGCUGUGAAAGCCCGGGGCUUAACUCCGGGUCUGCAUUCGAUACGGGCAGGCUAGAGUGUGGUAGGGGAGAUCGGAAUUCCUGGUGUAGCGGUGAAAUGCGCAGAUAUCAGGAGGAACACCGGUGGCGAAGGCGGAUCUCUGGGCCAUUACUGACGCUGAGGAGCGAAAGCGUGGGGAGCGAACAGG